ensembl:rRNA 5S_rRNA 5S ribosomal RNA
GUCUACGGCCAUACCACCCUGAACGUGCUCGAUCUUGUCUGAUCUCAGAAGCUAAGCAGGGUCGGGCCUGGUUAGUACUUGGAUGGGAGAACAAUUAAAGUCUGAUCUCCCUUGGCC